AUAAAACUACAAUUUUCGACUAUAAUAAUGAGUAGGUAACUUCAUUUUAGUUAUCAACAAGUGAUCCAGAAAGCAAUGGGAGAAGCUGAGAAAAUUCACUAAAAACAAGACUUUUAUUUGCUAUAUCUAAAAGUUAUAUUAGUUAGAUGAUUAGUGGGAUUAGACUAUGAACCGAUGACUUAAUAGAAAUUGUGGAAUCAACAAAUGAUCUAGAAAAUUCACUAAAAUAGAAUUUUUUAUAUGUUACAUCGGUUAGUUAUACCGGUUAAAGAUGAUUAGUCUGAUUAGAUUAGUGAUGAUCAUUCAAUCCUUAAUUUGAUUAAAUUUGGGUACAAUAAAUUUUUUUUUCCUGUAUUCAACAUGCCUGUUUUAUAAUUUAUAUUCGAGAUUCA
rnacentral:lncRNA from 1 species